CCUACGGGUGGCAGCAGUGGGGAAUAUUGCGCAAUGGGCGAAAGCCUGACGCAGCGACGCCGCGUGAGGGAUGAAGGUCCUCGGAUCGUUAAACUCUGUCAGCAGGGAAGAACGGUCACUGUGCUAAUCAGCAGUGAAUUGACGGUACCUGCAAAGGAAGCACCGGCUAACUCCGUGCCAGCAGCCGCGGGAAUACGGAGGGUGCGAGCGUUAAUCGGAAUUACUUGGCGUAAAGCGCUCGUUGGCGGUAUGUCAAGUCAAGGGUGAACUCCCCGCGCUCAACGUGGGAACUGCCUUUGAAACUGGCAGACUGGAGUGUGUGAGAGGAUAGUGGAAUUCCAGGUGUAGGAGUGAAAUCCGUAGAUAUCUGGAAGAACAUCAGUGGCGAAGGCGACUAUCUGGCACAUAACUGACGCUGAGGAGCGAAAGCGUGGGUAGCAAACAGGAUUAGAUACCUGAGUAGUC
rnacentral:rRNA from 1 species